UCUUUUCAAGACACUUUGAUAUUGAUUGGACCAUGGUAGCCUACUGAAACAAAUGUCUUUCCAUUAGUAAUCAAGGGAAUUCAUAAGCAUAACACGAUAGGAAGGAAGCACUGAAACGUUUAUCCUUCAACUUGCCAGGGCAGCUGGACCAUCACCAUCCAUAUAGACUAUGGAUUGUAUAGUUCAAAAGUGGCUGUGUUUGUGUGGAGCUGCCUCCUCUGUGCCAUAUUUCUUAAUUGGAUACAUGCUUAGUUAAGUCAUCUUGUUCACUUACCUAAGUGAAUAACUGCAUUUCAAGCUGAAUUUUAUCUCUGGGUAAAUGGAAGCAUGUUGUUCUUGCUAAUAACUAUUUAGACUAAUUUUGCCUCUGCUCUGUUUUUGUCUGACCUGUGCUUUACUCAUUGUGUUUGAACAUAUGCAAAUAGCCACAAAAUUGCUGGCAGCUGUGGCAGAUGAGCACAAACAUGAUCAUCAGUUUGUAGAGGUGCAUGCCUAGUUCACUCUUAGCAUGGUUAUGACUGUAAGUACAUGUGUUGAUUUGUUUCUGUCAUCUACUAUCAACAGAAAUUGUAUUUGUUGACUGGAAGAGGUUUAUUUCUGUAAAUUCUGUUGAAAGUACCUCGUAUUAGCAUUCCCCUUAUCCUGCAACAUUAAAUAUUCCUGCUAUAGUUUGAUGCAGUAGUUGCUGUAUUUUCCAUGUACAGCAAUCAUGAAUUACAUUUGAGAAAAAGAAAGCUUAGUUCCCAAGCAAGGUAGGGCAGGUAGGGCAGGUUCCUGUUGGGGACAGCUGCAGGGCAGUCAGUAGAUUACAAAUUAGCACCUUCAAUCCCUUGCUCCUCCUUGGUUCCUUAGGGAGCUAAUGAGGUGGAGGCUGAGCUUUCUUCUGGCUCUGGAGCAUAAUCCUGUAUCAGAUCAUUUAGGCAUCCAUCGUCAGGCUAGUCCUGCAGACUGGGAGGCUUUGGUAAAGCACCAAUGCUCUAAGAAGUCAGUGCCUAGCUGCCAGUAUUGCUGUCCCUGGGGUUGUAGUUCUAUUCUUUACACGUGGCUGCUUCUGGUUCACCUGGGCUGACUGGCACAGUGCUUCUUUGGUAAAGGCCUGGGGCUCUGCAGCAAAGGAAAUGAUGCUUUCCCUCCCUUGUUACCUUAAGGUGGGAAUGCAAGAUGCAAUAAAGGAACAGAACACAGAGAGCUCUGUCUUUCCUUGAGCACAAGGAAGUGUAGUGCAUCACCUGCUGACUGAUGCAGUCUGCUUCAUUGACAAGCUGAGCUCUGCUCUGCUUUGCCUUGGAUUUGCUUUCACUACACUUUUCAGCUGGCUACAGUGAUUGAGUUUUUGUAAGUGUCAGAACAAUAUCAAGACGAUGCGAAGACAGUGUCAAGGCAAAUAUAUACAGGUUACCAGUUGAAGGAUGUGACUUACAGAAAGUGCAAAGCAAAACUUCCCUGCAGGCAUCUCUGCAGUAUCUCAGCAUGGGUCUUGGCAAGCAUAAAA